UACGAAGGGGGCUAGCGUUGUUCGGAAUUACUGGGCGUAAAGCGCGUGUAGGCGGGUGGCUAAGUCAGGGGUGAAAUGCCGAGGCUCAACCUUGGAACUGCCUUUGAUACUGAGGAUCUUGAGUUCGGGAGAGGUGAGUGGAACUGCGAGUGUAGAGGUGAAAUUCGUAGAUAUUCGCAAGAACACCAGUGGCGAAGGCGGCUUACUGGUCCGGUUCUGACGCUGAGGCGCGAAAGCGUGGGGAGCAAACAGG
rnacentral:rRNA from 1 species